CGAGGCCGGCGGCUGCCGGGCCUCCAAUCUCGGCGGCGGCGGCGGCAACAGGGGAGCCUGGGUCUCGCGGCCUGCGAGUCCGUCGCGUGCUGAGGGAGACGCAGGAGGUGGAGCCGGCCGGGUGCUCGAGGGAAGGAGACUGGAAGCUGGUUCCGGCGUGAGGAGGUCUGAAAAAGGGGAGCGCGGAGAGGAGGCUGGAAGAGGAAGAUGCCUAGCACAGACCUUCUGAUGUUGUGAAAAACGAGGCUUAUAGAGAGUAACUACAGCAGUUGAGUGGUGGAGCCAAGUUUGACCUCAGUUGGUCUGACUUCAGAUCCCUCCCUCUUGCCUACUUUGUGUCCUUACCCCUGGUAAGGGUAGAGGUUGCUGACCAUUGUGACUGAUGGGAGAGGGUCUGUGUGGAGCAGAUGGGAUAGGAUAGCUCCACCCUCUAGGGGGCACUUUGGCAAUGGGGGACUGGGGGAGGAGGGAGUCUUUUUUCUUCUAGUGUAGUCUGAAAAUACAUGUUUUAUUAUUAAAUUAUUAUUAAAUCUUGUUUAUUGGGUCAGGCGU
rnacentral:lncRNA from 1 species